UACAGAGGUCUCAAGCGUUGUUCGGAUUCAUUGGGCGUAAAGGGUGCGUAGGCGGCGCGGUAAGUCGGGUGUGAAAUCUCGGAGCUUAACUCCGAAACUGCAUUCGAUACUGCCGUGCUUGAGGACUGGAGAGGAGACUGGAAUUUACGGUGUAGCGGUGAAAUGCGUAGAUAUCGGAAGGAACAUCAGUGGCGAAAGCGGCUUCCUGGACCAGUACCGACGUUCAGGCACGAAAGCGUGGGGAGCAAACAGG
rnacentral:rRNA from 1 species